UACAGAGGUGGCGAGCGUUGUUCGGAUUUACUGGGCGUAAAGGGUGCGUAGGUGGUUUCGUAAGUCGGAUGUGAAAUCCCACUGCUCAACGGUGGAACGGCAUCGGAAACUGCGAAACUUGAGUGCAGGAGGGGAGAGCGGAAUUCUUGGUGUAGCGGUGAAAUGCGUUGAUAUCAAGAAGAACACCGGUGGCGUAGGCGGCUCUCUGGAAUGCAACUGACACUGAGGCACGAAAGCUAGGGGAGCAAACAGG
rnacentral:rRNA from 1 species